rnacentral:rRNA from 1 species
AGAGUUUGAUCCUGGCUCAGAUUGAACGCUGGCGGCAUGCUUUACACAUGCAAGUCGAGCGGCAGCGCGGGGGCAACCCUGGCGGCGAGCGGCGAACGGGUGAGUAAUGCAUCGGAACGUAUCCUGUAGUGGGGAAUAACUCACCGAAAGGUGAGCUAAUACCGCAUAAGCUCUGAGGAGGAAAGCGGGGGACCGAAAGGCCUCGCGCUGCAGGAGCGGCCGAUGUCCGAUUAGCUAGUUGGUGAGGUAAAGGCUCACCAAGGCGACGAUCGGUAGCUGGUCUGAGAGGAUGAUCAGCCACACUGGGACUGAGACACGGCCCAGACUCCUACGGGAGGCAGCAGUGGGGAGUUUUGGACAAUGGGGGAAACCCUGAUCCAGCCAUGCCGCGUGAGUGAAGAAGGCCUUCGGGUUGUAAAGCUCUUUCGGACGGAACGAAAUUGCUUGGACUAAUACUCUGAGUAGAUGACGGUACCGUAAGAAGAAGCACCGGCUAACUACGUGCCAGCAGCCGCGGUAAUACGUAGGGUGCAAGCGUUAAUCGGAAUUACUGGGCGUAAAGCGUGCGCAGGCGGCUAUGCAAGACAGAUGUGAAAUCCCCGGGCUCAACCUGGGAACUGCAUUUGUGACUGCAUGGCUAGAGUACGGUAGAGGGGGAUGGAAUUCCGCGUGUAGCAGUGAAAUGCGUAGAUAUGC